GUCCCUGUAGCUUAAUCCAAAGCAUGACACUGAAGAUGUCAAGAUGGAUACCAACACCCAAGGACA
rnacentral:tRNA from 1 species